ensembl:lncRNA
GUCACAGCCCACCACAGCAGAGCAGUGAAGUUGGCUUCCAAGCAUUUGCUUCCAAGGGCCCCGUUCCCGGGCUCAGAGCAGCAGGAACGUUGCACUGAACAGUGUGCGUGGCUGAGGAGCCCAGGGCUGUGCUGCUGGCGGACUGUCACACCCCUGGUGCAGAGCUCUCAGCUCCAAACACAAAGGAGGCACCUCCAGAGUAUAAUGUGGGCUGUCCAGCCAGCACGCCCCACUCUGGCCCUGCUUUCUGCAGGCCCCUGUAUCACCUUGACCAGGGGACCUCUGUGCCCACUUCCAUCAGGGCUGCUCAUCCUCUAGCUGAGAGGCAGAGGGGCACUUUCAGUCCUACAAAUGUAUAUUGAGCACACACUGUGAGUUAGAGCUUGGGGAUGCCAACGGGAAGAAGAUGGGUGAGAGCCUCGGCCUCAAGCAGAAGAGACAGAAGAACGGCACAAGGGCAAUUACAAUCUGGUGUGCUGCGCUGGGGAGCCCGACCCCCGAUGCACCUUAGACCCUGGGGAAGUGUCUUAAGGCUCUUGGAAGAGAAAGAGGAAGUCUGAACCAGGGGGCCAGUGAGGAUUUGCCAGGUUCCUCUGUCCGUGGGAUUCUCCAGGUAUUGGAGUCAGUUGCCGUGCCAUCCUCCAGGGGAUCUUCCUGACCCAGGGAUCGAACCUGCAUCUCCUGCAUCUCCUGCGCUGGCAGGUGGGUUCUUUUCCACUAGCACCACCUGGGAAGCCUGCAACAGAACAUCACUCAGCCACAAAAAAGAAUGAAACACUGCAGCAAUAUGGAUGGACCUGGAGAUGAUCGUACUUAACUACGAAAGCCAGAAAGACAAAGACGAACACCAUAUGAUGUAACUUAUAUGUGGAGUCUAAAAUAGGACUUAAGGGAAGACACCUAAGAAACAGAAACAGACUCUGACAUAGAGAACAAACUUGUGGUUGCCAAAGGGGAGGGAAGGAUUGGGAGUUCGGGAUUAGCAGAUGCAAACUAGUAUAUAUAGAACAGAUAAGAAACAGGGUCCUACUGUACAGCACAGGGAACUAAUUCAGUAUCCUGUGAUAAACCACAGUGGAAAGCAAUAUAUACAUAUAUAUAUAUAUGUGUAUGUAUAUAUAUAUAUAUGCUAUGCUAUGCUAAGUCGCUUCAGUCGUGUCCGACUCUGUGCAACCCCAUAGACGGCAGCCCACC